rnacentral:lncRNA from 13 species
GAGUGGGAGAGAGACUGAAAGAGAGAAGGAUAAAGGACAGAUAUCAGUACAGUAAAGUCUGGCUGGGGGCCAGAGGGAUUCAGAGGGAUUCAGAGGGAGCUGAAUUAUUUCUUUCCUGGGUGUCUUCCUCUAUCCUUUGGACACAUCUGUCUUGAGUUUCUCCCAGGGCUCCCCGGGGCCCUCUCCACUCCAACUAUAUUAAUUUGACUAAACACCUGAUUUAUUUUAUCUCUCCGAUGAGGAAGGCCAUUUGUCUUAAUAGGCCCUGUCAACCUCCAGAACCCAUUCAGGGCAAUUUACUGGCAGUCUUGCCUAGCACUGCUUGCCGCAAUGGAAGAGAGUUGCAAUUCUCCAUUUAUCCUCUUCAGAAAAAAGCACCUAAAAGCAGCUAUUCACUGAGCCUGUGUGCGGUUUCCCAGGCCUGAAUUGACUUCUUAUUCACCCGACCACUUGUUGUGAAUGCCUUAUCUAUAAAAAAUGUACAUUCAACAGCGAUUUUAUUAACCUUUGGCUGUGUCCAUAAAGCCGCAGCAUUUUGUGGGCCAGCGAGAUGUAUCUGUCACAGGUCACCAGUAGCUACACUGCAGAAGACAGCAAGUCCAGUGAGGGGGGGUGCAGGAGUGGCAGUGAGAGAGCGAAGCAAACAUCUGGACUCAAUACUGUCCUCUCAGGUUCCCAGCUCUUCACUGAUGUUUAGUCAGAGACCAAUCAGUGAAUGUCAAUACUAUUUUAGAGUAUGGUAGUAUAGGAUUGCUUGUUAAAUGCGUGUGAGUGUGUGUGUGCAUGUAUCCUGACUUCCAGGAGCAGGCCAGUGCUCGUGGGCCACAAAGGGAUCCCGUGGGCUCUAGCCUGGGGGCCAUGUGUGGGGAGUGCAGGCCUGCACAAACACUAACAGAAUACUAAUAGAGGGCUCAGUGUUUUGAUGUUGGGCGGCAUUGUGGGGAGCUCAGGCUGCCCCCUGUACCAAGACAACAGGCUGCCCUCUGUACCAAGACAACAGGCUGCCCUCUGUACCAAGACAACAGGCUGCCCUCUGUACCAAGACAACAGGCUGCCCUCUGUACCAAGACAACAGGCUGCCCUCUGUACCAAGACAACAGGCUGCCCUCUGUACCAAGACAACAGG